AAAGAAUCUUUCUGCAAAACCAAAGAGGAAGAAAAGAAAAUAAUGAGUUAUAAAUGAAAAUUCACAAGCCACAGUGUAAGCAGUAACACAAAAAGGAAAAUGCCUAGCGAAUUUGGGAAUCUUAUGACAAUGAGACCCAGUGACCGCACAUAAUAUGUCAUGUCAGUAGAAACAUAAACUAUGAGAGAAUUAGCAAAUCCAGCAAUAAAU
rnacentral:misc_RNA from 1 species